rnacentral:rRNA from 1 species
UACGGGGGGUGCGAGCGUUGUCCGGAAUCACUGGGCGUAAAGGGCGCGUAGGUGGUUUGAUAAGGGUGUGGUGAAAGCCCGGGGCUCAACCCCGGGUCUGCCGUGCCGACUGUCAAACUCGAGGGCUGUAGAGGCAGACGGAAUUCCGGGUGUAGCGGUGGAAUGCGUAGAGAUCCGGAAGAACACCGGUGGCGAAGGCGGCCUGCUGGGCAGUAGCUGACACUGAGGCGCGACAGCGUGGGGAGCAAACAGG